rfam:TPA: Bos taurus chromosome 5, whole genome shotgun sequence.
UCCCUGGUGGCUUAGAUGGUAAAGAAUCUGCUUGCAAUGUAGGAGACCCAGAUUUGAUUCCUGGGUUGGGAA